UGGCAGUGAUGUAUGAAUUUCACCUGGAAACACCGUGGAGAGCAGAAUCCGAGCUUUUUAACCCUGAGCCAC